rnacentral:rRNA from 1 species
UACGUAGGGUGCAAGCGUUAAUCGGAAUUACUGGGCGUAAAGCGUUCGCAGGCGGUUUUGCAAGACAGAUGUGAAAUCCCCGGGCUCAACCUGGGAACUGCAUUUGUGACUGCAAGGCUAGAAUCUGGCAGAGGGGGGUAGAAUUCCACGUGUAGCAGUGAAAUGCGUAGAUAUGUGGAGGAAUACCGAUGGCGAAGGCAGCCCCCUGGGCUAAGAUUGACGCUCAUGCACGAAAGCGUGGGGAGCAAACAGG